rnacentral:misc_RNA from 1 species
GUGAAUCAUCGAAUCUUUGAACGCACAUUGCGCCCGGCAGUAAUCUGCCGGGCAUGCCUGUCCGAGCGUCAUUUCAACCCUCGAACCUCUGUUUCGUUAGCGAAGCUCAGGGUCGGCGUUGGGGCGCUACGGCGAGUCUUCGCGACCCCGUAGGCCCUGAAAUACAGUGGCGGUCCCGCCGCGGUUGCCUUCUGCGUAGUAAGUCUCUUUUGCAAGCUCGCAUUGGGUCCCGGCGGAGGCCUGCCGUCAAACCACUAUAACUCCAGAUGGUUUGACCUCGGAUCAGGUAGGGUUACCCGCUGAACUUAAGCAUAUCAAUAAGCGGAGGA